UACGGAGGGUGCGAGCGUUGUCCGGAAUCACUGGGCGUAAAGGGCGCGUAGGCGGCAUGCCAAGCGUGUGGUGAAAGCCCGGGGCUCAACCCCGGGUCGGCCGUGCGGACUGGCGUGCUCGAGCACUGUAGGGGCGGGUGGAAUUCCGGGUGUAGCGGUGGAAUGCGUAGAGAUCCGGAAGAACACCGGUGGCGAAGGCGGCCUGCUGGGCAGUUGCUGACACUGAGGCGCGACAGCGUGGGGAGCAAACAGG
rnacentral:rRNA from 1 species